UCCACUUCAUAAAUGCAAAUGGUAUGUCUUCUCCCUUUUGUCCAACAUUCUUUUUAUCAUGGAUGUUGACAAGUGCCUCCCUAUUAUAACUUCCUAAGUAUAUACUAAUGUUCUUUAUUGUAACUUGUUUUAGGGUUGGUCAUAUUACGAAUCAGCCGGAUCGAACACUGUUUACCAACUUUCUCUUGAUAAGUGUGGACUAUUAGCAUACUCGAGCAUCGUGUGAGAAUUAUCUGGGUGCAUUAAAUGGCACGUACAUCAAGGUAAAUGUUAGUGCAACUGAUCACCCAAGGUAUAGAACAAGGAAGAGUGAAAUUGCAACAAAUGUACUCGGUGUGUGUGAUACAAAUGAAAACUUUGUAUUCGUCUUAUCAAGGUGGGAAGGAUCCACAGCUGAUUCUCGAGUUCUCAGAGAUGCAAUAUCAUGACCUAAAUGACUG